GGUUUGAUCCUGUCUAGAUUGAACGCUGGCGGAUGCUUUGCCACAUGCAAGUCGAACGGCAGCACGGACUUCGGUCUGGUGGCGAGUGGCGAACGGUGAGCAAUGUAUCGGAACGUGCCUAGUAGCGGGGGAUAACUACGCGAAAGCGUAGCUUACCGCAUACGCCCUUUCGGGGGAAAGCGGGGGACCUUCGGGCCUCGCAGCAAAUUAUUAGAGCGGCCGAUAUCGGAUUAGCUUAGUUAUGGGGUAACGGCUCACUGAAGGCGACGAUCCGUAGCUGGUUUGAGAGGACGACCAGCCACACUGGGCCGAGAUACCGGCCCAGACUCCUACGGGAGGCAGCAGUGGGGAAUUUUGGACAAUGGGGAAACCCUGAUCCAGCCAUCUCGCGUGUGUGAAGGCCUUCGGGUUGUAAAGCACUUUUGGCAGGAAAGAAACGGCACGAUAAUACCCCAUGCAACUGACGGUACCUGCAGAAUAAGCACCGGCUAACUACGUGCCAGCAGCCGCGGUAAUACGUAGGGUGCAAGCGUUAAUCGGAAUCUUAAGCGUGCGCAGGCGGUUCGGAAAGAAAGAUGUGAAAUCCCAGAGCUAACUUUGGAACUGCAUUUUUAACUACCGAGCCAGAGGUCAGAGGGAGGUGGAAUUCCGCGUGUAGCAGUGAAAUGCGUAGAUAUGCGGAGGAACACCGAUGGCGAAGGCAGCCUCCGGGAUAACACUGACGCUCAUGCAAUGAAAGCGUGGGGAGGCAAACAGGAUUAGAUACCGGUAGUCCACGCCCCUAAACGAUGUCAACUAGCUGUUGGGGCCUUCGGGCCGGUAGCGCAGCCACCGUGUGAAGUUGACUGCCUGGGGAGUAUUGGUCAAAGAUUAAAACUCAAAAGGAAUUGACGGGGACCCGCACAAGCGGUGGAUGAUGUGGAUUAAUUCGAUGCAACGCGAAAACCUUACCUACCUCCUUGACAUGUCUGAAUCCCGAAGAGACGGGGAGUGCUCGCAAGAGAACCGGAACACAGGUGUUGCAUGGCUGUCGUCAGCUUCGUGUCGAGAUGUUGGGUUAAGUCCCGCAACGAGCGCAACCUUAUUAUUAGCAUGAAAGGUUAAUUUAAUGAGACUGCCGGUGACAAACCGGAGGAAGGUGGGGAUGACGUCAAGUCCUCAUGGCCCGGCGGGCAGGGUCGACACGUCAAGUACAAUGGUCGGGACAGAGUGGUCGCCAACUCCGCGAGGCCAAUCCCAGAAACCUGAUCGUAGUCCGGAUCGCAGUCUGCAACUCGACUGCGUGAAGUCGGAAUCGCUAGUAAUCGCGGAUCAGCAUGUCGCGGGUGAAUACGUUCCCGGGUCUGUACACACCGCCCGUCACACCAUGGGAGUGGGUUUUACCAGAAGUAGUUAGCCUAACCGUAAGGGAGGGCGAUUAUCAUGGUAGGAUUCAUGACUGGGGUGAAGUCGGAAUAAGGUAA
rnacentral:rRNA from 1 species